AACGUAAGGGAAAAUAAUGAUAUUACCUUACUAUUAGUGUCGUCCAAGUACUCGUGCCAGAAGACUCGGUAAGGCGAGAGACGCAAACGUUAGUCGUCUUGAUCAGGCGUAAAGGGUUUGUAGGCGGCUUUAAGUAUCUUAUUUUUAGUUUACUAUUUUAAUGUUUAUAAUUAUAAUUGAAUUUUUAUUCGGGCUUUCAUUUAUAAAUUCAUAAAUUAAUAAUUUACAUUAAAAAAAUAAAGAAAGGAUCAAUUAAAGCUAGAAUCUAAAAGAGGUUAAAACAAUACUCUUCAAAGGAGUGCUAACCGUAGAUAAGGAGCAGAUGUUAAGGGCGAAGGCAUUUAUCCAAUAAAGAUUGACGCUGAGAAACGAAGGUGAGGGCAGAAAAAAGGAUUAGAGACCCUUGUAUUCCUCACUGUC
rnacentral:rRNA from 1 species